UUACUGUUACUUUACAAUUAUUUCCUAAUGGUGUACCUUAAUGCUGUUGUUUGUUUUGAGACAGGAUCUCAGUAUGUAGCUUAGACUUCCUCAAACAUAAGAUCCUCCUGCCUCCACUUCCUAGUGCUGGAAUUACAGAUAAUGUACCACCUCGUGUGCCUUACAGUUCUUUUUAAAGAGAUUGCUUUCUAAGUAAAAGGUGAAGGAAAGCCCUUAGAACAUUUUUUUAAAAUUAUCAUGAAUGAAAAUCAAUUAUAUUUGCUUUGCAUUUAGCAAAUUAAUUGUUACAUGUUUCAAGCACUGGUUUUUGUUUUGUCUACAUGUUGUUUCAUUGGUAUGAUUAAGUGGAUUUUUCUUAUCUUAAGGUGGGAUCUCAUCGUGUCCGUAUGUCAAGGGGAUUUGAAGCCAAUGCACCUGCUUUUGAUAGGCAUUUUAGAACACUUAAGAAUUUAUAUGGUAAACAAAUAAUAGUAAAUUUGCUUGGCUCUAAGGAAGGUGAACAUAUGCUAAGCAAGGCUUUCCAAAGUCAUUUGAAAGCUUCUGAGCAUGCUUCUGAUAUCCACAUGGUGAAUUUUGACUAUCAUCAAAUGGUUAAAGGAGGAAAGGCAGAAAAGUUACAUAGUAUUCUUAAACCUCAAGUCCAGAAGUUUCUAGAUUAUGGAUUUUUUUAUUUCAAUGGAAGUGAAGUUCAAAGAUGCCAGAGUGGUACCGUUCGGACUAACUGCUUGGAUUGCCUUGAUAGAACAAAUAGUGUGCAGGCGUUCCUAGGCUUAGAG